rnacentral:tRNA from 1 species
ACAGUUGUAGUUCAGUGGUAGAGCAUCUGCUUGGCAUGCAGAAGGUCACAGGUUCAAUCACUGGCAUCUGCG